UGUAAGCGUAUACCAAAGUUGUUGCAGUUAAAACGCUCGUAGUCGGAAUUUGGCAGUUCCGGAUGUGUGCACGUCGUGUGCGCACUUCGCGGGGAUUGCUUUUGUGGUCUUGCGUAGGAUGAGGCACUUUUAUUAGUGAACGUCCUCACGCAACCACUUUUUACUGUGAGAAAAUCAGAGUGCUCAAAGCAGGCAUUUGCCGUGAAUGUAUUAGCAUGGAAUAAUAGAAUAGGACUUGGUUCUAUUUUGUUGGUUUAUUGGGACUGAGUAAUGAUUAAGAGGGACAGUUGGGGGCAUUUGUAUUUCGGUGCUAGAGGUGAAAUUCUUAGAUUACCGAAAGACAAACUGCUGCGAAAGCGUCUGCCAAGGAUGUUUUCAUUGA
rnacentral:rRNA from 1 species